rnacentral:rRNA from 1 species
UGAGGAAUAUUGGUCAAUGGGCGGAAGCCUGAACCAGCCAAGUAGCGUGCAGGAUGACGGCCCUACGGGUUGUAAACUGCUUUUAUGCGGGGAUAAAGUUGCCCACGUGUGGGUUUUUGCAGGUACCGCAUGAAUAAGGACCGGCUAAUUCCGUGCCAGCAGCCGCGGUAAUACGGAAGGUCCGGGCGUUAUCCGGAUUUAUUGGGUUUAAAGGGAGCGCAGGCCGCCGUGCAAGCGUGCCGUGAAAAGCAGCGGCCCAACCGCUGCCCUGCGGCGCGAACUGCGUGGCUUGAGUGCGCCGGAAGCGGGCGGAAUUCGUGGUGUAGCGGUGAAAUGCUUAGAUAUCACGAAGAACCCCGAUUGCGAAGGCAGCCCGCUGUGGCGCCACUGACGCUGAGGCUCGAAGGUGCGGGUAUCGAACA